AAGUAGCUAGAGACGCUUAGAGCUUCUCGAUGGCUACCUUCAUCAGCUUGGGCACACUGUCACUAUCGUCUUCUCGUUUCUUCAGUCUCGGAGCUCCGACUCGUUACCAUGGUUAUCCAAACCGACCCGUAUUGCCGCCUCUCAAAUGUUCCUCUUCUUCUUCGGAUUCAGAUACCGCCAUGCCUCCCAACGGUUGGGCUCACAAGCUGACUGCAGGGCUCGCCGGAAUCGGUUUCCUCGAAACCUCGUACCUCACUUACCUUAAGCUCACCGAAUCCGAAGCCUUUUGCCCCGUCGGCGGCGCCACCUGCUCCGACAUACUCAACAGUGAUUACGCCAUCGUUUUCGGUUUUCCUCUUCCUAUGAUUGGGAUGGCUGCGUAUGGCUUGGUUGCUUCUCUUAGUCUCCAAUUGGCUACAAAUAAUUUAGCUUUUGGGAUUAACAAAUCGAAUGCUCAACUUGUAUUGCUUGGAAUCACAACCUCCAUGGCAGCUGCUAGUGCGUAUUUUUUGUACAUUUUAACCACGAGAUUCUCUGGGUCAUCUUGCUCCUAUUGCCUACUUUCGGUUCUAUUGUCCUUCACCUUAUUCUUUGUCACAGUGAAGGACCUUGGAUUGCAAGAGACGUAUAAACAAGUGGGCCUGCAAUUGUUUAUUGCUAGCUUAGUGAUUCUCACUCUCAACACCUCCUAUAGCAAUUCUAAAUCUGCUUCCUCAAGCAGCCUGGCUGAAGUUGAACUGCCAUAUUAUGCGACUGAGAUUACAACUCCGUCAAGCCCGUUUGCAAUAUCUCUAGCAAGGUAUUUGCAAUCCAUAGGUGCUAAAAUGUAUGGAGCUUUCUGGUGUUCGCACUGUCUAGAACAAAAAGAGAUGUUUGGACGAGAGGCAGCUAAGCAGUUGGAUUAUGUGGAAUGCUUUCCAGAAGGAUAUCGGACAGGAACUAAAAUGAUCAAGGCCUGCAUGGACGCCAAAAUUGAAGGUUUCCCCACCUGGAUUAUUAAUGGCCAGGUUCUGAGUGGUGAACAAGAACUAUCGGAGCUGUCUCAAGUGUCUGGUUAUAAUGAAUCUGUUCAACCUAGUUAAGGCUUAGGCUGAAUGUUACAAAGGUAGCAAUGUAGUAGCACAUUCACUGUAUAGCUUAUAGAUUGCAGGUCUAAGCCUGCUUACAAUCAUUUUUCAUCCCUGUGCUUGCAAAAUCGGGUUGCAAAGUCGGGGAGGCGUUGUGAAUCGGGUUUUGCUUAAUCACCCCUAUAAAGAGAGUCAUAAGUAUCUAAAAGACGUAUUACUCUGGUCUUCAAUAUUUGACAUAAUGUAAAAAGUAGUAUAUUAUUCUGUUGUUUAGAAGUGCCGAAAGUAGACGGCUAUUUUGUAAGCAAAUGUUUUUUAAAUUUUAAUAACAUAAAUCAUGGUUAUGUUUUUUUA